rnacentral:rRNA from 1 species
UACGAAGGGGGCUAGCGUUGCUCGGAAUCACUGGGCGUAAAGCGCACGUAGGCGGUUUCCUAAGUCGGUGGUGAAAUCCUGGAGCUCAACUCCAGAACUGCCUCCGAUACUGAGAGUCUUCGAGUCCGGGAGAGGUGAGUGGAACUGCGAGUGUAGAGGUGAAAUUCGUAGAUAUUCGCAAGAACACCAGUGGCGAAGGCGGCUCACUGGCCCGGUACUGACGCUGAGGUGCGAAAGCGUGGGGAGCGAACAGG